rnacentral:sRNA from 1 species
AGGAGAGGCAGGCAAACAGCUGAGGCGGUAGGCUUAGGGCCAGAGCCAGGGGAGGGCAGGGUGGUGUAUGGCAACUAACCAGUCAUUCUCCCUCUUCCUCUCAGGCGGGCAGGGCUGGGCAGCGGCCUGAGUCUCAGUGGACUUGUCCACCCAGAGUUGAGUCGGAGCGGCGAGCUGGUAAGUGGCCAGGGGUCCAGGAGAGCCUGCAUCAGGGACUGCAGCUGAUGGCCCCUCUGAGCCCCGCACUGUCCCCAUCUCUUCAGGCAGUACAGGCUCUGGAGCAGUUUGCCACUGUGGUGGAGGCCAAGCUGAUAAAACACAAGAAGGGGAUUGUCAAUGAACAGUUUCUGCUGCAGCGGCUGGCAGACGGGGCCAUCGACCUCUAUGCCAUGGUGGUGGUUCUCUCGAGGGCCUCAAGAUCCCUGAGUGAGGGCCACCCCACGGCCCAGCAUGAGAAAAUGCUCUGUGACACCUGGUGUAUCGAGGUGAGACUCGGGGCUGCCAAGCUCAGGUGAGGGCUAGAGGUGCAGGCCCAACCCCUCCUUCCCUCUCCCCAGGCUGCAGCUCGGAUCCGAGAGGGCAUGGCCGCCCUGCAGUCUGACCCCUGGCAGCAAGAGCUCUACCGCAACUUCAAAAGCAUCUCCAAGGCCUUGGUGGAGCGGGGUGGUGUGGUCACCAGCAACCCACUUGGCUUCUGAAUACUCCCGGCCAGGGCCUGUCCCAGUUAUGUGCCUUCCCUCAAGCCAAAGCCGAAGCCCCUUUCCUUAAGGCCCUGGUUUGUCCCGAAGGGGCCUAGUGUUCCCAGCACUGUGCCUGCUCUCAAGAGCACUUACUGCCUCGCAAAUAAUAAAAAUUUCUAACCAGUCA